rnacentral:rRNA from 1 species
GUAAAAGCUUUUAGUGAAUACCUAGGCACCCAGAGACGACGAAGGGCGUAGCAGUAAAGGACGAAAUGCUUCGGGGAGUUUAAACUAAGCAUUGAUCCGUAGAUUCCCGAAUAGGGAAACCUUUUUAACUAUAUGCUGAAUUAAUGGGCAUAAAAGAGAUAACUUAGCGAACUGAAACAUCUUAGUAGCUGAAGGAAAAUAAAGUAAUAAGCGAUUUCUGAAGUAGUGGUGAGCGAAAUGAAAGUAGCCUAAACCAUCAAAGGGGUUGUGGGGGAGCAACUAAAAAAUUUAAAUAUUUAAGCGAAGCAGCGGAGUAUUGUAUCAUAGAUGGUAAGAGUCCAGUAGAAUAAUAUCUAAUUAACUUAAGCUUUAACCCAAGUAGCAUGGGAUAAGUUAAAAUACCGUACGAAUCCACAAGGACCAUCUUACAAGGCUAAAUACUCUUUGGGUGACCAAUAGCAUAGUAAGUACCGUGAGGGAAAGGUGAAAAGAGCCCUCUUUUAGGGGAGUGAAAUAGAGCAUGAAAAUGCAAGCUUUCAAGCAGUGGGAGGAAUAUAUUAAAUCUGACCGCAUACCUUUUGAAGAAUGAGCCGACGACUCAUAUGCAGUGGCUUGGUUAAGGUAAAAUAACUGUAUCCGUAGCAAAAGCGAGUCUUAAAAGGGCAACAAUUGUCAUUAUUUAUGGACACAAACCUGGGUAAUCUAUCUAUGACCAGGAUUAAUCUUGGUUAAAACUAAGUUGAGGUCCGAACCAACUGAUGUUGAAAAAUCAGUGGAUGAGUUAUGGUUAGGGGUGAAAUGCCACUCGAACCCAGAGCUAGCUGGUUCUCCCCAAAAUGCAUUGAGGCGUAGCAGUUGACUGUAUAUCUAGGGGUAAAGCACUGUUUCAAUUGAGGCCACAUAAUAGUGGUGCCACAUUUAGACAAACUCUGAAUACUAGAUAUUUAUACAAAAGAUUAAUUGAUUAAGGUCAACUAGUGAGACAGUGAGGGAUAAGUUUCAUUAUCAAAAGGGAAACAGCCCAGAUCACCAGAUAAUGCUCCUAAAUGACCACUCAGUGAUAAAGGAAGUGGGAGUGCAUAGACAAUCAGUAAGUUUGCCUAGAAGCAGCAACCUUUUAAAGAGCGCGUAAUAGCUCACCGAUCAAGUGCUUUUGCACCAAAGAUGAAGGGGGCUAAGCGAUCUGCCGAAGCUGUGAGAUUUUUUUUUUAAGUUUUAUAUCUUAUUAUAUCUUAAACGUAAUAUAAAAAUUAUUGGUAGGGGAGCAUUCCACCUUAGAGAGAAAUACCUCGCUUAAGCAGGUGGUAGACAAAGCGGAAGUGAAAAUGUCGGCUUGAGUAAUGAAAACAUUGGUGAUAAUCCAAUGCCCCGAAAACCUAAGGGCAUAAAGGUCAUCUAGGGAGGGUUAGUCAGGGCCUAAGAUCAUGUCAAAAGGCGCAAUCGAUGGCUAAAAGGUAAAUAUUCCUGUAUUAUCCUUUUUGUUAUUGAGGGAUGGAGGAGGCUAGGUUAUCCAAAAAUUAUGGUUAUUGGCUUAAAGGGUAAGGAUACAUUCAUUAAAUAUGGGUUAUAAGGGGUAGAGUAAAUAUCUCGAACUAAUACCUGAAUAAUAAGUGCUAUUUUAUUCUUAAGGCUUAAGUAACUAAUGUCAUACUCCAAGGAAAAGCUCUAAAUAUAUUAAACAAGAAAGGAACAUGUACCCAAAACCAACACAAGUAGGUAGGUUGAGAAUACCUAGGGGCGCGAGACAACUCUCUAUAAGGAACUCGGCAAAAUAGCCCCGUAACUUCGGGAUAAGGGGUGCCUCUUAAAUAUAAGAGGUCGCAGCGGCCAGGCCCGGGCGACUGUUUACCAAAAACAAAGGUCUCCGCAAAGUCGUAAAGACCAUGUAUGGGGGCUGACGCCUGCCCAGUGCAGGAAGGUUAAAGAAGUUAGUGGUCGUGAUUUACAACAGGGUAGCUGACAACCUAAGCCCUGGUGAAUGGUAGUCGUAACUAUAACUGUAAAAUGUCAAGACUUCAUUUCUAAUUGUUUAUUAAUAUUUAAAUAAUUUUUACCUCAGAUUGAAAAUCUGACUUCGCCAUUGUGUUCACCACCCCAAAUUAGCUAGGGGUGAAGUUUUGAACGCAUUUGGAAAUCGUAAAUUUUUAGAUGAAUAUUUUAAUAUUAUUUAAAUACCUGAAAAUUCGAGUAAUUAAAUACUCUUCGGAUCAAAAAUCCGAGUGCACCAUUGUGUUCAGAAGCCCUCAAUUAGCUAGGAAUGAUAUUUUUUAAAAAAAUUUGGAAAAUAUUUAUUAAGUUAAGAUUAAUUAAUUAAAUUGAUUAUAAUAAAUUAAAAUUAUUUAAAUUUUUUUAAAACGGCGCCGUUGUAUUUAAGACACGCCGUCACCCUAUUUUAAAUCGGCGCCGUUCCGUUUGACGAAUCAGUCGAUCCGUCCGAUCGAACGAUCGGACGGUCGAGGACUCGUCGUCCCCGAAUUCUCCGCGUGUCCUUCGCGAAGCACAAGCGGCUUCCUCUUCGCUGCCAGAUAACUCUCUCGCCGCUCUAAGGACUGAAUUAAAACUUCAGGCAAUCAAGUCUCUGCCGAAAAAGCAUCUGGAAUUGAUCUCUUUCAUGCAGAGUCAAAAGCCUGAAUAAAACCCUAAACUCAUUCGAACCGUUGAAAUAAAGGUACCGGUUUCUCUUGCAGUUCUUACAAUUUCACUUCUUAUUCAUUUCAAAAUGCUAUUCCUUAUGGUUGAUUGUCAAUC